UACGUAGGGGGCAAGCGUUGUCCGGAUUUAUUGGGCGUAAAGAGCGUGUAGGCGGCUAGGUAGGUCUGCUGUGAAAACUCGAGGCUUAACCUCGAGCUGUCGGCGGAAACCAUCUGGCUAGAGUCCGGAAGAGGAGAAUGGAAUUCCCGGUGUAGCGGUGAAAUGCGCAGAUAUCGGGAAGAACACCCGUGGCGAAAGCGACUUCCUGGACCAAUACUGACGCUCAUGUGCGAAAGCGUGGGGAGCAAACAGG
rnacentral:rRNA from 1 species